rnacentral:rRNA from 1 species
ACGCUCGACACCUACGGGAGCAGCAGUGAGGAAUAUUGGUCAAUGGACGCAAGUCUGAACCAGCCAUGCCGCGUGCAGGAUGACGGCUCUAUGAGUUGUAAACUGCUUUUGUACGAGGGUAAACGCAGAUACGUGUAUCUGUCUGAAAGUAUCGUACGAAUAAGGAUCGGCUAACUCCGCGCCAGCAGCCGCGGUAAUCUGAGCGGGCUGGCAAGGC